rnacentral:rRNA from 1 species
GCAUAUCAAUAAGCGGAGGAAAAGAAACUAACAAGGAUUCCCCUAGUAGCGGCGAGCGAAGCGGGAAGAGCUCAAAUUUAUAAUCUGGCACCUUCGGUGUCCGAGUUGUAAUCUCUAGAAGUGUUUUCCGCGUUGGACCGCACACAAGUCUGUUGGAAUACAGCGGCAUAGUGGUGAAACCCCCGUAUAUGGUGCGGACGCCCAGCGCUUUGUGAUACACUUUCAAUGAGUCGAGUUGUUUGGGAAUGCAGCUCAAAUUGGGUGGUAAAUUCCAUCUAAAGCUAAAUAUUGGCGAGAGACCGAUAGCGAACAAGUACCGUGAGGGAAAGAUGAAAAGCACUUUGGAAAGAGAGUUAACAGUACGUGAAAUUGUUGGAAGGGAAACGCUUGAAGUCAGACUUGCUUGCCGGAGCUUGCUUCGGUUUGCAGGCCAGCAUCAGUUUUCCGGGGUGGAUAAUGACGGUUUGAAGGUAGCAGUCUCGGCUGUGUUAUAGCUUUCCGUUGGAUACAUCCUGGGGGACUGAGGAACGCAGCGUGCUUUUUGCGAAAGACUCGUCUUUUUCACGCUUAGGAUGCUGGUGGAAUGGCUUUAAACGACCCGUCUUGAAACACGGACCAAGGAGUCUAACAUGCUCGCGAGUAUUUGGGUGUCAAACCCGGAUGCGCAAUGAAAGUGAAUGUAGGUGGGAACCGCAAGGUGCACCAUCGACCGAUCUGGAUUUUUUAAGAUGGAUUUGAGUAAGAGCGCGUAUGUUGGGACCCGAAAGAUGGUGAACUAUGCCUGAAUAGGGCGAAGCCAGAGGAAACUCUGGUGGAGGCUCGUAGCGGUUCUGACGUGCAAAUCGAUCGUCAAAUUUGGGUAUAGGGGCGAAAGACUAAUCGAACCAUCUAGUAGCUGGUUCCUGCCGAAU